UAUCAUUGUAAUUUCUUAUGACGCAAUAAGAAUUCCACGUUUUCAAGAACUACAGAGACUGCUUUCUGAAUCUUGAAAGUUGAAGAUUGUCACUCACUCGUUACACGUCUGAUUCUAUUAGCGUCUGUCACUCGUCAGUUGUCACUGGUCAAUCGUUACUGCUGUUUUAAUUGUCGGCUUAUACUUGGCAGAUAAUACAGUACUGAAAUAAUAUUGUAACACAUUUCAAUGGAAUCAAAAUCUUGUGAUAUUAUUAUGGACAAUACAACAUCUGAGGUUACUGAAGAAAACCCUCCCAAAAAGAAAAAAUCUUUAGUUAAAUAUAAUCUCGCCACUGAAAGACGUCAUAAGAGGAAAGGCAGUAAAUUAUUGUUAAAAGAGAGGAUACUGGAUCAACAAGAAAAAAAAUUAAGAAUUACAUUACAUAUUUU